rnacentral:tRNA from 1 species
GGAGAGGUGGCCGAGUGGUUGAAGGCGCACGACUCGAAAUCGUGUAGGCGGUUUACGCCGUCUCGAGGGUUCAAAUCCCUCCCUCUCCGCCA